AGGGCAUGUGUUGAAAGUUUUUUUGAGAAAUAGAUAGCAUGCUAUCCGCCUCAUUUAUUUUAUUUAGAAAUAAACUUAACUGAAAAUGUGAAUCAGCUAGAAUUCGAAUUUGGGUCUCGAAUACCAACCAUUAAGCCCUUUGACACUUGCUCUAGGAACGGUUGGUCAUGUGUUGGAAGUUGGAACCCCACUUUGGGUGUGCAUGAAUUUAUAUCAUCUUAGAAGUAGCUUUUAGAAAAAUAAUUUAUAUAGAAUUAA
rnacentral:lncRNA from 1 species